rnacentral:rRNA from 1 species
UUGGGCUCGAGCGAGGCUACUUCAACCAUUGCGAACUCGUCCAAGUUGCUUCGGCGGCGCGGCUCCCCCUAACGGGGGCGCCGCAGCCCUGCCUCUCCGGAGGUUCGGGGCGCCCGCCGGAGGUACGAAACUCUGUAUUAUAGUGGCAUCUCUGAGUAAAAAGCAAAUAAGUUAAAACUUUCAACAACGGAUCUCUUGGUUCUGGCAUCGAUGAAGAACGCAGCGAAAUGCGAUAAGUAAUGUGAAUUGCAGAAUUCAGUGAAUCAUCGAAUCUUUGAACGCACAUUGCGCCCGGUAGUACUCUACCGGGCAUGCCUGUUCGAGCGUCAUUUCAACCCUCAAGCCCUGCUUGGUGUUGGGGCCCUACGGCUGCCGUAGGCCCUGAAAGGAAGUGGCGGGCUCGCUACAACUCCGAGCGUAGUAAUUCAUUAUCUCGCUAGGGAGGUUGCGGCGUGCUCCUGCCGUUAAAGACCCAUCUUUAACCAAGGUUGACCUCGGAUCAGGUAUGAAUACCCGCUGAACUUACGCAUAUCAAUAAGCGGGGAGAACAUUACUAGAGCCAAAGGGUACUUCCACUUUUACAAACUCAAAUAAC